AAUAAGCCGUGGCACCUGCGUUGAACUGCACUUCCUUUGCUUUGCACUCCUGCACGAGCCUGAAUCUCGCGGUGGUCAGUUUAGACCCCGUGCUAAUUACAGAUAAGAGAGCCAAAAUUCAAAGCCCGAUAUUUCCAUACGGCAUUCUUGUCUCCUCUCAGCCUUGCAGUGUUUUCUCAUGAGGACAAAUAACAUUAGAGCUUUUAGUAUUUCUUUGUUUUCCCCAAGAUUAUUUGGGAAAGACGCCAUAGAAAUUAAAUGCCUUAUAUAAAAACUUCUAAAAAUUAACAUCUGUGGCAAAGUUGUGCUGGAGCACAAUUAGAGUGUGAUUCCUCUAGUGAGAAAAGUAGUGCCACCAUUGCCACAAGAAAGAGUUGCUUUUGCUUUUAAAUCUGAGAGAGAUCUUCUGCCCAGAUUUGGAGAUUUACCUUCCCUCUGCAGACAUGCAGCAGUGCAAAGUACUCUAUACAGAUCUCCACUGUCUUUGCAUGAAAUCAGUUCCCACGUUUUACAAUCUGGGCUUUGAUUUACUAGAUGUAUAUUUAAGGUAGACCUACCGUCAUAGUAAAUACUCUGAAUGGUAGGCGUGCAGGCAGAAAAGAAGAGUCAGCAUUCAUCUUCCUGCACAGGACCGGGCAAAACCCCCCAUGGAUUUGUGUCUGGGCCGUAUCUCUCAACCUCCGCAGAGGAGACAGCAGGUUUUGGAUAGCAGCAGCUGCACUCAUCUUGCAAGCUCAUAUUCCUGCCUCCCAGAAAACAAGAUCUCUGGGAACUGUCCUGAUUUUCCAGUAGCAGUUUACUCGGUUAGCAUAAAAUCGAUCACAGAUGGUGCUUUUGAUGCUGGCAGGUUGGAAAAAUAAUCUCUUGGCUUAUAUUCUGAGCACAUCUGAUCUGGACUCACCAAGUGCAAUAGAGGCUGACCAUCAUUUUGUCAUUGAAAGAGAAACACUUUCCUGACUGCAGCUAAAUUUUGGGCCAGUAUGAACAUUUUCAAUUAAAUAGCAAACUUGAACCUUAAAUAGUUACACUUUGCCCUUGCUGUUUGGCUCUCUUGCAUACCAAAGACUUAGCUCUUAGCAACAUGAAAUCCCAUCCUAAUUAGCUUCUGUUUAACAAUACCACUUUGUACCAUGCUCAGAAUGCCAAAGUCCUUCCAUUCUGGGGCUUUAGAAGAGGAGAAUGUUUCAUUUCAAGCCUGAUGCAGUUCCAAACUCUUUCUACAUUUUUUUGAAGUUUGAAGCAGUCCUUAUGUUAAACCUCAACCAUUUUGUAUGAAUAAAAAUCACAUUCAAGAAAUAAAAGACUUCUAACCAAACACAGUCCAGUACAAGAACACAAAUGAGAAGUACUGGAAUCAGCUAGAGAGAAAAACGUAUCAUUUCCUCUCCAAGGAGACAGUGAACAUGUAUGAAAUGGAACAAUUCUCACACGUACAAUCAUCAAAUGAUUUGGGACCAUUUGGCUCCUACUCCACCUGGCCUACUGACAUCUGUUGGGAUCACGUGUUUGUUGUGGGACUGCUACUGAGAUGGUGACAACACCUGGAAGAAAAAGAAGGAAAGGAGAAAGCUACCUCUUCAAAAAGCAGAAUAAUCUCAUUGAUUAUCACUUUGAUGCAUUAUUUAUCAUAUAAGUGUAUACAGGUGGCCACUUUACCAGAUGGACUGCCAUUGCACAUGUGAAAUAGAAGUUGCUGAGUGAUUGCCUUUUUCCCUUCCUUGCUGUCUAGAAACUUACUUUCUUUAGCUGCCACAUGCACCAAUGGCAACUGGGGAAGCAAACACAGAAAAGUGAAACUGGGGCCCUUGGGGACACCUGAAGCAUGUCUGUGAGCACAGACCAAGUCUCCAGUGCUCUCAUCACCUGACAUUUUUAAUGGGCAAUGCUUUUCCACAAGGUAAGUUAUUGGACUGAGAAGGACUGUUAUGUGCAGUGUUGUAUGGCAGCUUUCUCUUCUCUGAAGUGAUGCUUGCAGUCUGUUAAACCUGGGAAAAUAAUGGAAAAUAGAGAUCCCUCCAAACCCUUCUGGAUUUGUAAUUUCUACAUAUGAAGUAUUUACUUUUCUUCUGCCCAGAAAUGAAGCCAAAAUAGAAACCUUAAGGGAUUCUCUUAUUUUUCCUAAGAAGGCAAACAAACCAAAUCUUACUAAGCUAGCCAUCAGUCAUACCCUGGUGCACCUUGCCUGCUGCUGGUUCUGCAGCUCUCUGCUGCUCUAGUCUGGCUGAUACAUACUCAGCCCACCCAGAAGUAAGGGUGAUGGAAGCAGUGAGCGAUUUAUCUGUCAGUCCAAAGAGAUGGUCCCUAAACAACACCUCAGAGGAAACUCAAAAGCUUUGAUGGUUUCUGUGAAGAUGUUCUGCUAGAACAUUCCUUCCCGCGCACAUCUUGAACUGGAACACUUUGUCUUUCCUAAGCAGGCUGCCUGGACAGGAGGGAUGCUGUGCCGCAUGACACUUUGGUAGGAUCUCUUCCCUACCCAUCCCACAUAGUUGCAGAGCUCUCACUAUACCACAAAGUAUUGUAUGUAUGAAAUGUGGAAAGAAUGCCUUUUAGAAAAGCAUGUAGCUCAAAGCAUGCAGACUUUACCAUCACAAUUGAUACCUGGAGUUUCAAAGAGGAAGGGCAGUGUUUUCAAAGAUGUGUUUUUUGAGGUUUGCUGCCUGGCCUCUGGCAUUUUGAGGCUGAUCCCAAGGACUGCACCUUACUGGCUGAGUGAGGCAUAUGGUCCCACAGCAGAGCGUGGCAUGUACAUGGUUAAAUAAACAGGUGUUUUGAGGCCU
ensembl:lncRNA